ACGAAGCCAUUUUUUGGCAUUAUUCUUUCAAUUCUGUGAACUUGAAAUUUGCUUUGGGUGGGAUGUUUUAUCGUCUCACCCAAAAUUUUAAACUCUUAACAUUUUAUUCAUGUCUGACUGAUUAAAAUAUAAAAAUUAAUCA
rnacentral:misc_RNA from 1 species